CGAUGCACUACAGCUCGAGAUAUCACGAUCGAAAGGUUUUGGUUUCGGAUCGAAAACCGGUCGAGCUCCGACGAACGUGAAACCGGUCACUCCAGGUGCGAUCCUUCUAGUAUGAUGAUCAGCAAGUUGAGGCGAGUUCAUGGAGCUAAGGAUCAGAAGUUUUGGUGGCCGGAGCUAGGAGAAAACCGACGUUGACUAAAAUCGAACUCAAAUCAAAACGAGCUCACCACCGCCUCUACAGGCCGCGCCGCCG
rnacentral:lncRNA from 1 species